rnacentral:rRNA from 1 species
GUCUUUUUGAUUAUAAUUUAAAGUCUGACCUGCCCAAUGAAUUUUUAAAUGGCCGCGGUAUUUUGACCGUGCAAAGGUAGCAUAAUCAUUAGUUUUUUAAUUGAAAGCUGGAAUGAAUGGUUGGACGAGAAAAUUACUGUCUCAAUUUAAUUUAAUUAGAAUUUUAUUUUUAAGUUAAAAAGCUUAAAUUUAUUUAAAAGACGAGAAGACCCUAUAGAGUUUUAUAUAUAUUUAAUUAAUUUUUUUUAUAAUCUAUUAUAAUUAAUAUUAUAUUUUAUUGGGGUGAUAAAUAAAUUUAAUAAACUUUAUUUAAUUAUUUACAUUUAUUUAUGAUUUAUUGAUCCAUUAUUUAUGAUUAUAAGAUUAAAUUACCUUAGGGAUAACAGCGUAAUUUUUUUAGAGAGUUCAAAUCGAAAAAAAAGAUUGCGACCUCGAUGUUGGAUUAAAGUUAAUUUUUGGUGUAGAAGCUAAAAUAUUGAGUCUGUUCGACUUUUGAAACUUUACAUGAUCUGAGUUCAGACCG